rnacentral:lncRNA from 10 species
AGAUGGGGUAUCACUCUGUUGCCCAAGCUGGGGUCCAGUGGCUAUUCACAGGUGUGAUCACAGUGCACCGCAGCCUUGAUCUGCAGGCCUGAAGCAAUCCUCCCACCUCAGCCUCUGAAGUAGCUGGGACUACAGACAAGUGCCACUGUGCCUGGCACCAACAUGCAUUUUUGGGGGCACAUUUUGAGAGCUCCAACUGUCAAGGUCUGGCUCCUAAGCCACCCCCUCCAUACACCAGCUCCAAUCAGGAGGAAGCCCUCCCACCUGAGAAGGCCCGGAGCUCUCGAAGCCUGCCUCUGCUUGGCCUUCAUCACUAGUGUGUUUCUGACCUACCGGGUGGGUUACAAAUGCUGAACGUUCCAUUGUUUGGGGGUGAUUUGUACCAGGGUUCAGCUCUCUGACUAAUGGGCAGUUGUCUGUGAAUUUUUCUUUCUAGCAUAUGUUAGAUGUACAAUGUAAAG